GACGAACGCUGGCGGCGUGCUUAACACAUGCAAGUCGAACGGAAAGGCCCCCUUGUGGGGUACUCGAGUGGCGAACGGGUGAGUAACACGUGAGUAACCUACCCUUGACUUUGGGAUAACUUCAGGAAACUGGGGCUAAUACCGGAUAGGAGCUCCUGCUGCAUGGUGGGGGUUGGAAAGUUUCGGCGGUUGGGGAUGGACUCGCGGCUUAUCAGCUUGUUGGUGGGGUAGUGGCUCACCAAGGCUUUGACGGGUAGCCGGCCUGAGAGGGUGACCGGCCACAUUGGGACUGAGAUACGGCCCAGACUCCUACGGGAGGCAGCAGUGGGGAAUAUUGCACAAUGGGCGGAAGCCUGACGCAGCAACGCCGCGUGCGGGAUUACGGCCUUCGGGUUGUAAACCGCUUUCGCCUGUGACGAAGCGUGAGUGACGGUAAUGGGUAAAGAAGCACCGGCUAACUACGUG
rnacentral:rRNA from 1 species